rnacentral:rRNA from 1 species
AUUGAACGCUGGCGGCAGGCCUAACACAUGCAAGUCGAACGAGUGGCGGACGGGUGAGUAAUGUCUGGGAAACUGCCCGAUGGAGGGGGAUAACUACUGGAAACGGUAGCUAAUACAGCAUACCAUCGGAUGUGCCCAGAUGGGAUUAGCUUGUAGGUGAGGUAACGGCUCACCUAGGCGACGAUCCCUAGCUGGUCUGAGAGGAUGACCAGGCAAAGUGGAAAUGAGACACGGGCCAGACUCCUACGUGAGGGAGCAGUGGGGAAUAUUGCACAAUGGGCGCAAUCCUGAUGCAGCCAUGCCGCGGGUAUGAAGAAGGCCUUCUGGUUGUAAAGUACUUCCAGCGGGGAGGCGUUACCCGCAGAAGAAGCACCGUCUAACUCCGUGCCAGCAGCCGCGGUAAUUC